AAAAUCGCAGGCUUCUUCAGUUAAACAAGAUACUACUACUAUAUAAUGGAAAAGUUAUAUAGGGCAAGCCUAAAUCUUCACAGCACCUCCUUGUAGAUACUACUACUCCAUUAUUUUCGGUGACAUGGGAAGGUAAAUAACUGAUGCAGAAAUUAUAGAACCCUAUGUGAAGAAAAUUAUGGAUGAGAAUCGUGGAUAGAAGUAUGGGUGUGGAGCCAUGGGGUGUUCAAAAGUUUUGCAUGCUCCUGAGUUUGUUCAAAAUCAUCUAAAACUCAAGCACCCUAACUUGGUCUCUGUGUUGACUUCUGGAUUUUUUUGGUGAUAUCACCUGAUCAUGUAUGCUGCUCAGUUGUGCGGUUG